rnacentral:rRNA from 1 species
UGUUGGAGCCCAGAUCGUUUACCGUGAAAAAAUUAGAGUGUUCAAAGCAGGCAGAUAUUUCAUACUGCCACCGAAUACAUUAGCAUGGGAUAAUGGAAUAGGACCCUGUCCUUCAUGUUUCGCGUUGGUUGUGCCACGUGCGUGCGCUUCGCGGUGCGCGCGCGUGGCAUGGUUUCGUCUAAAGGAGGACCAGGGUAAUGAUUAAUAGGGAUAGUUGGGGGCAUUAAUAUUUAAUUGUCAGAGGUGAAAUUCUUGGAUUUAUGAAAGAUUAACUUCUGCGAAAGCAUCUGCCAAGGAUGUUUUCAUUAAUCAAGAACGAAAGUUAGGGGAUCGAAGACGAUUAGAUACCGUCGUAGUCUUAACCAUAAACCAUGCCGACCAGCGAUUGGGAGACGUUUCACACGGGAGUGGUCCCGGGGAGAGUGCGUGGGGGUGGCCGCUUCGUGCGGUAGCCUCCUUGGCUUUCCCUUUGGGGCUGCUCCCACUAAAGGAUGACUCCCCUAGCAGCUUGUGAGAAAUCAU